rfam:Schistosoma mansoni strain Puerto Rico chromosome 5, complete genome
AGGAUCGUAGUGAUGGUUAUCAUGUCUGCUUUACACGCGGAAGGUCUCCGGUUCGAACCCGGGCAGAACUA